CGGUGCUGUAAAACAGGUUAAUUUACUUAAUCUUUUUAGACAAGCUGCCCGAGUCCUGUCGCUAUAUUUCAUUCAUAAUGGCUUUAAUGUUACCCAUAUUCUUUCUGGUGAUGUCUAACCGAAAGCAUUUUGGUCUGAUAGGAACAGACACAGAUACAGCAGGGCCAUCAAGGCAGCAUAACAGGAAAUAUGUGAACAGCAGCAGAUAUAGGCUACAGCAGGGUCACCAAAUCAGACAAAGGAGCAUAACAGAACACAUUUUGGUCUGAUGUAAACAGCUGAAGAUAUACAGAAGUGUCAUUGAAUUAGUCAAAG